GCGGGCGUGAUGGAAUGGUAGACAUACGGGACUUAAAAUCCCGAGGCGAAAGCCGUGCGGGUUCGAGUCCCGCCGCCCGUA
rnacentral:tRNA from 1 species